rnacentral:rRNA from 1 species
GACGAACGCUGGCGGCGUGCUAACACAUGCAAGUCGAGCGGAAAGGCCCUUCGGGGUACUCGAGCGGCGAACGGGUGAGUAACACGUGAGUAAUCUGCCCCAUGCUUCGGGAUAGCCAGCCGAAAGGCUGAUUAAUACCGGAUACGACAUCCCUUGGCAUCGGGGGGUGUGGAAAGUUUUUUCGGCGUGGGAUGUGCUCGCGGCCUAUCAGCUUGUUGGUGGGGUAAUGGCCUAGCAAGGCUUCGACGGGUAGCCGGCCUGAGAGGGUGACCGGCCACACUGGGACUGAGCCACGGCCCAGACUCCUACGGGAGGCAGCAGGGGGGAAUAUUGGACAAUGGGCGGAAGCCUGAUCCAGCAACGCCGCGUGAGGGAUGACGGCCUUCGGGUUGUAAACCUCUUUCAGCACAGACGAAGCGCAAGUGACGGUAUGUGCAGAAGAAGGACCGGCCAACUACGUGCCAGCCGCCGCCGUAACAC